AGUCAACAACACAAAAGCAUGAGAUGCUCUGCAGCAACAGUUCUCCAGGGCUGAGAUCAAGUCGUAUCAGGAGAAUGUGCACAAGUUAUCUGCCAGCACUAUACCACUUCGCAGGAGUGGAGAAUCCUCAGGAGUCAUUUAUGUAGAGCGCUGGAAUCUAACUCCCACAGCUGUCUCCUCUCUAAUCCAACGCCCGUCAUUCGCACUGACAGAAGUGAACCUUCAGAAUCCAAGAGUCAUUCGCCAGAAAUGUUACAAGAGCAAAGUGUGCGUUUUAUUAUCCCCCAGAAGGUGCAUGCGGGUGCUGGGGAUAAAACCACGCAGCAGAGCCCCUGCUUGGUGUGCACAAGUCCCCGGGCUCAGGCUCCAGGGAAGAAAUGGGGUGUGGGGACAGAAUUUUCUGUUUCUCUGUCUAACAGUAAUUCUGCCUGUCUGCCCCAAGUGAAUGAAGCUCAACAAGGACACAAUGGAAGUGAGACGAAGCAGAGAGGCUCACAGAAAGGCUCACUCCUGCCUUCUGCUCCUGGCUUGCAAGAGUGAAAGUGUCAAACAUACUGAAUGUGGGGCAGCAGGCAUGGGGGAAUAAAGGGAGUGGGAGAAAACCC
rnacentral:lncRNA from 1 species